UACGUAGGCAGCAAGCGUUUGUUCGGAGUUACUGGGCGUAAAGGGUGUGUAGGCGGUUAUUUAAGUUUGGUGUGAAAUCUCCCGGCUCAACCGGGAGGGUGCGCCGAAUACUGAAUGACUUGGAGUGCGGGAGAGGAAAGUGGAAUUCCUGGUGUAGCGGUGAAAUGCGUAGAUAUCAGGAGGAACACCGGUGGUGUAGACGGCUUUCUGGACCGUAACUGACGCUGAGACACGAAAGACGUGGGUAGCAAACAGG
rnacentral:rRNA from 1 species